GAAGGAGAGGUCGACGGCGAGCGCGGCCGGAAGUCGGCGAUGCUGCGCAGGUGAAACUCUAUGGGGUACUCCAACACGCGCUUCUGCCGGAGGUAGGGCUCCAAAUUGCCGAAAAUGAGCUGCAUCUCGUCGUCGGAGUAGACGACCGGCGCCUCCGGCUCAGCGAUCAAAAGCUUCUUGGACAGAGGAAUGGCAUACGGAUCCUUGGUCCAAGCGGUGAGCUUGAAUGUAGUCAUGUCCGCCUUG
rnacentral:lncRNA from 1 species